GUGCCAGCAGCCGCGGUAAUACGUAGGGUGCGAGCGUUGUCCGGAAUUAUUGGGCGUAAAGAGCUUGUAGGCGGUUUGUCGCGUCUGCUGUGAAAUCUCAAGGCUCAACCUUGAGCUUGCAGUGGGUACGGGCAGACUAGAGUGUGGUAGGGGAGACUGGAAUUCCUGGUGUAGCGGUGAAAUGCGCAGAUAUCAGGAGGAACACCGAUGGCGAAGGCAGGUCUCUGGGCCACUACUGACGCUGAGAAGCGAAAGCAUGGGGAGCGAACAGGAUUAGAUACCCUGGUAGUCC
rnacentral:rRNA from 1 species